CCUGGAACUCACUCUGUAGACCAGACUGGCCUCGAACUCACAGAGAUCUGCCUGCCUCUGCCUCCUGAGUACUGGGAU
rnacentral:miRNA from 1 species